rnacentral:rRNA from 1 species
AGGGUGAUCGGCCACAUUGGGACUGAGAUACGGCCCAGACUCCUACGGGAGGCAGCAGUACGGAAUUUUGCGCAAUGGACGAAAGUCUGACGCAUCAACGCCGCGUGAGCGAUGAAGGUCUUCGGAUCGUACAGCUCUGUUGAAUGGGAAGAAACGUCUCGGGGUUAAUAUCUCCGAGGCCUGACGGUACCACUCGAGGAACGCUCCGGCCAACUACGUGCCAGCAGCCGCGGUAAUACGUAGGGAGCGAGCGUUGUUCGGAAUCACUGGGCGUAAAGGGAGUGCAUGCGGAAAGGUAAGUCCGAAGUGUACUCUACGGGCUUAACCCGUAUCUCGCUUUUGAUACUGCUUUUCUCGAGUAGUGGAGAGGGAAACGGAAUUCCAGGUGUACCGGUGGAAUGCGUAGAUAUCUGGAAGAACACCAGUAGCGAAGGCGGUUUCCUGGCCACAUACUGACGCUGAGGCUCGAAAGCGUGGGGAGCAAACAGGAUUAGAUACCCUGGUAGUCCACGCCGUAAACGAUGGGCACUAGAUAUCGGGGAAUUCGAUUUAUUCGGUGUCGCAGUUAACGCGAUAAGUGCCCCGCCUGGGGAGUACGCCCGCAAGGGUGAAACUCAAAGGAAUUGACGGGGGCCCGCACAAGCGGUGGAGCAUGCGAUGUAAUUCGAUGCAACGCGAAGAACCUUACCUGGGUUUGACAUGGGAGUGAAAGUUCCUAGAGAUAGGAACCUUUCCUUCGGGAACACUCCACACAGGUGCUGCAUGGUUGUCGUCAGCUCGUGUCGUGAGAUGUUGGGUUAAGUCCCGCAACGAGCGCAACCCUCGCCCUUAGUUGCCAUCAGGUAAUGCUGGGAACUCUAGGGGGACCGCCUGGAACAACCAGGAGGAAGGUGGGGAUGAUGUCAAAUCAUCAUGGCUCUUACGUCCAGGGCUAGACGCGUGCUACAAUGGUCGGUACAGAAGGAUGCCAAGUCGUGAGACCGAGCUAAUCCAUGAAAACCGGCCUCAGUUCGGAUUGGAGUCUGCAAUUCGACUCCAUGAAGGUGGAAUCGCUAGUAAUCGCGGAUCAGCAUGCCGCAGUGAAUAUGUUCCCGGGCGUUGUACACACCGCCCGUCAAGCCACGAAAGAUGGGAGUACCCGAAGUCGCUUGCCCAACC